UAGAGUUUGAUCCUGGCUCAGGACGAACGCUGGCGGCAGGCCUAACACAUGCAAGUCGAACGGUAACAGGAAACAGCUUGCUGUUUCGCUGACGAGUGGCGGACGGGUGAGUAAUGUCUGGGAAACUGCCUGAUGGAGGGGGAUAACUACUGGAAACGGUAGCUAAUACCGCAUAACGUCGCAAGACCAAAGAGGGGGACCCUCGGGCCUCUUGCCAUCGGAUGUGCCCAGAUGGGAUUAGCUUGUUGGUGGGGUAACGGCUCACCAAGGCGACGAUCCCUAGCUGGUCUGAGAGGAUGACCAGCCACACUGGAACUGAGACACGGUCCAGACUCCUACGGGAGGCAGCAGAAGGG
rnacentral:rRNA from 1 species